GCUUUUUUCCCCCUUUUUUCACAUCAUGUCACCUGCCUGGAUCUGUUAUCUCGCUCUGAUGAACGGAGGAGUAUCACAGCCAGGCAGUUCAUUGACGACAGCUGCAGCUCAUCACCUAAUGAGCCUCCUGGGCUUUUUAAGGCAGCUGCUGAUACCAGAUCUUCGCUGGAACAUAGCUCUUGUUAUGGUAUGGCUCCUGACUCCUUGUAAAGCCUUUCUGUAGAAAGUUAUUAAGUCCUUGUUUAUUUCCUGUGCCCUAGUGAAAACAUCCUGGUCCUGUUUACAUGCCUGCCUGCCUGCCUGCCAACGUGUGACCUUAAUUGUAAAUACUCACCUGAAGGAUUCACCGUGUAUAUACUCACCUCUGGCACUCUCACCUUGGGCUCCCUGGAUUCCCUCCUCUUCUCCUCGCUCCUGGAAAAUCUCCUCACCUAUUAUCCCUGGACAAAACCAUUACACUGUAAAUAAAUCUCACUUACCAUUUUUA